AAGAAUUUAAUGCUUUUUGUUUGUAACUUAAUUGGGGUGUAAAACCGUUGACCGACGUUCAUUUGGCUGAAAGCGCGGACGCGCUUGAUUCUAAAAAUGUGCACACGGUCAACGCUUUUACAACCCAAUGAAGUAACAAAAAGAGGCAUUCUAUACUUACAAUUACAAUGAUUAGUUUACCUGUGCACUUUAUUGUGGGACCUCGUGUCAUCAUGAAUAGUACAGUUUAUUGUAUAAUAAAGUUGCAAAAAUAAUAAUGCAAGAUUGCAGUGUAGCCAAUCAGAAUAACGUAUUAUAAUGAAACAUGCACCUUAUGUAAUUAUAAUGAAAUUUAAUAGAACAUUACUGCUAAUAAGAUAAUUAGUUUUAGUUGUACUAAUAAUUUGUUUUUUAAUAUUUCAAUUGUUUUCAACUGACUGACAAUUACAACCCUAAAUUAUAUAAUGUACAAAGCAUGUGUUCUUUCCCUAGCAAGUUAACUUCUAUCUGUUGAGUAUUAAUUAUCAUCAUUUUUUUUUAUCACAAAUAAGUUAAACAGUGACAAUUUCUAACAUUAUGGCAAAUGACUUGAAAAUGUACUUAUAUGUUCAUCUUUAUUAUUAGGUAAAACACAUCAAAAUUGAAAAAUAGCGGAUUUCGAUCGCCAUUACUGAACUAUUCAACGUAGUGCGUACCUUUUGGUGAUUCAUACUGCGUGUAUAGUUCUAAACAUGUUAUCUGGUGUCAAUGCACCCAGACCCUAUCAUUGUAGACGGUUAUGAACACGCAAUGUAUAAGAAAGCAGUAACAACGUAUUAAUUAAUAUUUUAUAAAGAUUUAUAAAAACGUUAUGUCAUUAUCAACAGCUUGUUGGUAAAUACAGUGUUUCCGUUCAAAUAAGAAAAUAUUAUACGGAAUGUAUGUUACCUUUUCUAAUUGUACUGCUUGGAC
rnacentral:lncRNA from 1 species